CGCCGACCUCAUUUGUACGCUAGAAUUUUUCCAGUAAUAACGGAGCUGUUUACGUACCACAUUUUUAUUGGUCAAGAUGAACAGUGUUGUCUAAUGCGUACUUGGUUGCUCAUUUCGCGACGUUAAGCGUAUCUUGUCUCACUAUAUGUAUGUUAGAAAUGCCUUCAGUUAUGGCAAGACUGCUCCCACAAUAUCUGGAAAAGUUUACUAAACUUUCGCUAACGACUCAAGUUGCCAUACCACUGCUAGAAUUUCCCUCUGAUACUCUCAAUACACUGUAGCUCUUGCUGAUAAUGUC